GUAAAGUAAUCUACGCUUUUAACUUCAGUUUGUUUACAGUGAUGUCAAAGUCAAGAUGAGACAUUUUCUGAAAUUCCCGUGGCAGACUGGUUGGGUCUGCCAUCAAGUGUCUUGGUUUCAGAGCCAGUGCUUCAUGCCCUCUUUUGUAACCCUAGAGAAGAGAAAAGUGGGUGGUUCUGCUCUGCCAGUUUGAUAUGCCAGCAUUGACUGCAAGUUGUCAGAGAGAGGAUGUCAAACCAGCUCACACCUUAAUCAUUAUGCUCUAGAGUCAUGAACACAAUCUUUAUACUAAAUUACAC